CCUACGGGGGGCUGCAGUGGGGAAUAUUGGACAAUGGGGGCAACCCUGAUCCAGCCAUGCCGCGUGUGUGAAGAAGGCCCUCGGGUUGUAAAGCACUUUCAGUGAGGAAGAACGCCUGGUGGUUAAUACCCAUCAGGAAAGACAUCACUCACAGAAGAAGCACCGGCUAACUCCGUGCCAGCAGCCGCGGUAAUACGGAGGGUGCGAGCGUUAAUCGGAAUUACUGGGCGUAAAGCGCGCGUAGGUGGCUUGAUAAGCCGGUUGUGAAAGCCCCGGGCUCAACCUGGGAACGGCAUCCGGGACUGUCAAGCUAGAGUGCAGGAGAGGAAGGUAGAAUUCCCGGUGUAGCGGUGAAAUGCGUAGAGAUCGGGAGGAAUACCAGUGGCGAAGGCGGCCUUCUGGACUGACACUGACACUGAGGUGCGAAAGCGUGGGUAGCAAACAGGAUUAGAUACCCGGGUAGUC
rnacentral:rRNA from 1 species